rnacentral:rRNA from 1 species
UAUCGGAACGUACCAUUCAGUGGGGGAUAACGUAGCGAAAGUUACGCUAAUACCGCAUAUUCUGUGCGCAGGAAAGCAGGGGAUCGCAAGACCUUGCGCUGAUUGAGCGGCCGAUAUCAGAUUAGCUAGUUGGUGGGGUAAAAGCUCACCAAGGCGACGAUCUGUAGCGGGUCUGAGAGGAUGAUCCGCCACACUGGAACUGAGACACGGUCCAGACUCCUACGGGAGGCAGCAGUGGGGAAUUUUGGACAAUGGGGGCAACCCUGAUCCAGCCAUGCCGCGUGAGUGAAGAAGGCCUUCGGGUUGUAAAGCUCUUUCGGCCGGGAAAAAAUCGCAUGGGUUAAUACCCUGUGUGGAUGAUGGUACCGGAAUAAGAAGCACCGGCUAACUACGUGCCAGCAGCCGCGGUAGUACGUAGGGUGCGAGCGUUAAUCGGAAUUACUGGGCGUAAAGCGUGCGCAGGCGGUUUUGUAAGACAGGCGUGAAAUCCCCGGGCUCAACCUGGGAACUGCGCUUGUGACUGCAAGGCUAGAGUAUGGCAGAGGGGGGUGGAAUUCCACGUGUAGCAGUGAAAUGCGUAGAGAUGUGGAGGAACACCAAUGGAGAAGGCAGCCCCCUGGGCCAAUACUGACGCUCAUGCACGAAAGCGUGGGUAGCAAACAGGAUUAGAUACCCUGGUAGUCCACGCCCUAAACGAUGUCAACUAGGUGUUGGGAGGGUAAAACCUUUUAGUACCGGAGCUAACGCGUGAAGUUGACCGCCUGGGGAGUACGGCCGCAAGGUUAAAACUCAAAGGAAUUGACGGGGACCCGCACAAGCGGUGGAUGAUGUGGAUUAAUUCGAUGCAACGCGAAAAACCUUACCUACCCUUGACAUGUCCAGGAGCCUGAAGAGAUUUGGGUGUGCCCGAAAGGGAACUGGAACACAAGUGCUGCAUGGCUGUCGUCAGCUCGUGUCGUGAGAUGUUGGGUUAAGUCCCGCAACGAGCGCAACCCUUGUCGUUAAUUGCCAUCAUUCAGUUGGGCACUUUAACGAGACUGCCGGUGACAAACCGGAGGAAGGUGGGGAUGACGUCAAGUCCUCAUGGCCCUUAUGGGUAGGGCUUCACACGUCAUACAAUGGUCGGUACGAAGGGUUGCCAACCCGCGAGGGGGAGCCAAUCCCAGAAAGCCGAUCGUAGUCCGGAUUGCAGGCUGCAACUCGCCUGCAUGAAGUCGGAAUCGCUAGUAAUCGUGGAUCAGCAUGUCACGGUGAAUACGUUCCCGGGUCUUGUACACACCGCCCGUCACACCAUGGGAGCGGGUUCCGCCAGAAGUAGGUAGCCUAACCGCAAGGGGGGCGCUUACCACGGCG